UACGAAGGGGGCUAGCGUUGCUCGGAAUCACUGGGCGUAAAGGGUGCGUAGGCGGGUCUUUAAGUCAGGGGUGAAAUCCUGGAGCUCAACUCCAGAACUGCCUUUGAUACUGAAGAUCUUGAGUUCGGGAGAGGUGAGUGGAACUGCGAGUGUAGAGGUGAAAGUUCGUAGAUAUUCGGCAAGAACACCAGUGGCGAAGGCGGCUCACUGGCCCGAUACUGACGCUGAGGCACGAAAGCGUGGGGAGCAAACAGG
rnacentral:rRNA from 1 species